rnacentral:rRNA from 1 species
UGACCUCAAAUCAGGUAGGACUACCCGCUGAACUUAAGCAUAUCAAUAAGCGGAGGAAAAGAAACUAACAAGGAUUCCCCUAGUAACUGCGAGUGAAGCGGGAAAAGCUCAAAUUUAAAAUCUGGCGGUCUUAUGGCUGUCCGAGUUGUAAUCUAGAGAAGUGUUAUCCGCGCUGGACCGUGUACAAGUCUCCUGGAAUGGAGCAUCAUAGAGGGUGAGAAUCCCGUCUUUGACAUGGACUGCCAGGGCUUUUGUGAUGCGCUCUCAAAGAGUCGAGUUGUUUGGGAAUGCAGCUCAAAAUGGGUGGUAAAUUCCAUCUAAAGCUAAAUAUUGGCGAGAGACCGAUAGCGAACAAGUACCGUGAGGGAAAGAUGAAAAGAACUUUGGAAAGAGAGUUAAACAGUACGUGAAAUUGCUGAAAGGGAAACGCUUGAAGUCAGUCGCGUCGUCCAGGGAUCAACCUUGCUUUUGCUUGGUGCACUUUCUGGUUUGACGGGUCAGCAUCAAUUUUGACUAUUGGAAAAAUAUUGAGGGAAUGUGGCAUUUUCGGAUGUGUUUAUAGCCCUUGAUUGCAUACAAUGGUUGGGAUUGAGGAACUCAGCACGCCGCAAGGCCGGGUUGUCAAACCACGUACGUGCUUAGGA